GACGAACGCUGGCGGCGUGCCUAAUACAUGCAAGUCGAACGCAAACACGCCUAGAUUGACGGAGUUUGCUCCUGCUUGAUAAUAAUUCGAGUGAGUGGAGGCAGGGUGAGUAACACGUGGGUAAACAGCUCUACUGAGGGGGCUUACAUUUGGAGACAGAUGCCAAUACAGCAUACAACCUAAUAUCGCCUGGCGCCGGGUUGACAGCUGGUUUCGGCUUUCAUAUUAGGAUGGAUACGUGGUGGAUUAGUUAGUUGGUGGGGUAAAGGCUCACCAAGGCGAUGAUGCGUAGCCGGCCUGAGAGGGUGAUCAGCCACACUGGGACUGAGACACGGCCCAGACUCCUACGGGAGGCAGCAGUGGGGAAUCUUGCACAAUGGGCGAAAGUCUGAUGGAGCAACGCCGCGUGAGUGAAGAAGGCUUUCGGAUCGUAAAACUCUUUUGUUAGGGAAGAAUGGAUCUGAGAUUAUCUGGUCAGGUAGUGACGGUAUCCAAACAGAAAGCCACGGCUAACUACGUG
rnacentral:rRNA from 1 species